AGAGUUUGAUCAUGGCUCAGAAUCAACGCUGGCGGCGCGCCUAACACAUGCAAGUCGAACGAGAAAGUGGAGCAAUCCAUGAGUAAAGUGGCGUACGGGUGAGUAACACGUGGAUCAUCUGCCCUUUAGUGGGGAAUACCGUUGGGAAACCGACGACAAUACCGCAUAAGCUCGAGAGAGGAAAGCAGCAAUGCGCUGAAGGAGGAGUCCGCGGCCGAUUAGCUUGUUGGUAGGGUAAUGGCCUACCAAGGCUGUGAUCGGUAGCCGGCCUGAGAGGGCACACGGCCACACUGGCACUGAAACACGGGCCAGACUCCUACGGGAGGCAGCAGUGGGGAAUCUUGCACAAUGGGGGAAACCCUGAUGCAGCGACGCCGCGUGAGCGAUGAAGCCCUUCGGGGUGUAAAGCUCUUUCGGCAGGGAAGAUAAUGACGGUACCUGCAGAAGCAGCUGCGGCUAACUACGUGCCAGCAGCCGCGGUAAUACGUAGGCAGCAAGCGUUGUUCGGAGUUACUGGGCGUAAAGGGUGCGUAGGCGGCUCUAUAAGUAUGGUGUGAAAUCUCCCGGCUUAACUGGGAGGGUGCGCUAUAGACUGUGGGGCUAGAGUGUGGGAGAGGAAAGUGGAAUUCCUGGUGUAGCGGUGAAAUGCGUAGAUAUCAGGAGGAACACCGGUGGUGUAAACGGCUUUCUGGACCAUAACUGACGCUGAGGCACGAAAGCGUGGGUAGCAAACAGGAUUAGAUACCCUAGUAGUCC
rnacentral:rRNA from 1 species